rnacentral:lncRNA from 1 species
AAGGCUUGUCAUAGAUGAAUAAGGAGAAAAGAAAAACCUGAGUCUAGCACUUAAAGGUGAAGGUUCAUACUCAGAUGAUGACAUGACCUUCAUAGUAAAGAACUUCAAAAGAUUUAUGAAGAAUGAGAAAAAACAAGCAGAAGAACAAGAAAAAUAUGAAGAAAAAUCAUUCACUCCAACAUUACAACUGCGAAAAGAAAGGAC